GCGUUGUCUGUAUCGACCCGGACAGUGCCGAAGCUAACGCGUUAAGUAUCCCGCCUGGGGAGUACGCACGCAAGUGUGAAACUCAAAGGAAUUGACGGGGGCCCGCACAAGCGGUGGAGUAUGUGGUUUAAUUCGAUGCAACGCGAAGAACCUUACCAAGAUUUGACAUCCCGUGAACUUUCCAGAGAUGGAUUGGUGCCUUCGGGAACACGGAGACAGGUGGUGCAUGGCUGUCGUCAGCUCGUGUCGUGAGAUGUUGGGUUAAGUCCCGCAACGAGCGCAACCCUCGUCCUUAGUUGCCAUCAUUAAGUUGGGCACUCUAGGGAGACUGCCGGGGACAACUCGGAGGAAGGUGGGGAUGACGUCAAGUCAUCAUGCCCCUUACAUUUUGGGCUACACACGUACUACAAUGGUCGGGACAAAGGGCAGCAACCCCGCGAGGGCAAGCGAAUCUCAUCAAACCCGGCCUCAGUUCAGAUUGCAGGCUGCAACUCGCCUGCAUGAAGGAGGAAUCGCUAGUAAUCGCAGGUCAGCAUACUGCGGUGAAUCCGUUCCCGGGCCUUGUACACACCGCCCGUCACACCAUGGAAGCUGGCAACGCCCGAAGUCGUUACUCUAACCGUCGCGG
rnacentral:rRNA from 1 species